rnacentral:rRNA from 1 species
CCUACGGGGGCAGCAGUGAGGAAUAUUGGUCAAUGGGAGGAAUCCUGAACCAGCCAUGCCGCGUGCAGGACGACGGCUCUACGAGUUGUAAACUGCUUUUGUACCGGGGUAAAAUGCCUUACGUGUAGGGUUUUGAAAGUACGGUACGAAUAAGGAUCGGCUAACUCCGUGCCAGCAGCCGCGGUAAUACGGAGGAUCCGAGCGUUAUCCGGAUUCAUUGGGUUUAAAGGGUGCGUAGGUUGUUUUAUAAGUUAGCGGUGAAAUACCGAUGCUCAACAUCGGGGCUGCCGCUAAUACUGUAGGACUAGAGAUCGGAUGCAGCAGGCGGAAUGUGUAGUGUAGCGGUGAAAUGCAUAGAUAUUACACAGAACACCGAUUGCGAAGGCAGCUUGCUAGGCCGGAUCUGACACUGAUGCACGAAAGCGUGGGGAUCGAACAGGAUUAGAUACCCUUGUAGUCC